UACGUAGGUGGCAAGCGUUGUCCGGAUUUACUGGGCGUAAAGAGCGCGCAGGCGGCCAGGUCAGUCGAAUGUGAAAGCCCCCGGCUCAACUGGGGAUGGUCGUUCGAUACUGCCUGGCUCGAAGGUAGGAGAGGGAAGUGGAAUUUCAGGUGUAGUGGUGAAAUGCGUAGAUAUCUGAAGGAACACCAGUGGCGAAGGCGACUUUCUGGCCUAUUCUUGACGCUGAGGCGCGAAAGCUAGGGGAGCGAACGGG
rnacentral:rRNA from 1 species